CCUACGGGUGGCAGCAGUAGGGAAUAUUGCUCAAUGGGGGAAACCCUGAUGCAGCAACGCCGCGUGGAGGAUGAAGGUCUUCGGAUUGUAAACUCCUUUUGUUAGAGAAGAUGAUGACGGUGUCUAACGCAUCAGCACCUGCUAACUCCGUGCCAGCAGCCGCGGUAUUACGGAGUGUGCAAGCGUUACUCGGAAUCACUGGGCGUAAAGAGCGCGGAGGCGGGCUAGCAAGUCAGAUGUGAAAUCCUAGGGCUUAACCAUAGAACUGCAUUUGAUACUGUCAGGCUUGAGUAUGGGAGAGGUGGGUGGAAUUCCAGGUGUAGGGGUGAAAUGCGUAGAGAUCAAGAGGAAUACUGAUUGCGAAGGCGACCCGCUAGACGAAGACUGACGCUGAGGUGCGAAAGCGUGGGGAGCAAACAGGAUUAGAUACCCCAGUAGUC
rnacentral:rRNA from 1 species